rnacentral:piRNA from 1 species
UUCAAGAUGUGUGCUUCCUGUUCCU